AUGGCGGGAGCUUUGUACCGGGAAAGUGUGCAUCUCAAAUAUCUAGAAAUGAAGUUGGUGUUUGUUUGUUUGCGAGUUGGCCUUUUCCUACCUACUGGACCUGCAGUACUUUCAACAUGCUUUUUGCAUAUCACUGCAUUAAGGAUGAAUAAAAUGUUAAGCACCGACUGUUUAGGGACGCAGGAGUUUCAUACAUUCCACAAGACUACUGAAAUACUGGAAGACUCGCAAUCUCAAGAGAUUGCAUUCCACGAAGCAGCGCUGGGGUCAACGCUAGUAGGCCAUCAAAAUGUCCACUCUAUUGCCGCAGUAUCAGCAGGAGACAUUGGAAUGGCUGAAGUCAGCUUGUUGCAUGGUGAAUCUGACACAUCAGCUACCGGUUUACUGCCAGUGUCAUUCUUGUCAUGUGGUCCUCGAUCUAUGGCUCAUAUCUGGCAUUGUGGUCCUGUUGAAAAAGUAUGUCGAUCUAGGACCCCUGCCAGUUGUAAGGAUUAUCAGCAAAUUACCACAACGGUUCCAGUAUCAGUUCCGUCAUCAUCUGGCCUUGAAACCAUCCUAACACCUAAUCCAAUGUACAGUGAUAUUCAGUUGAAAGAUGUGAACUACAAUGCUACAGCAAUGGAGGAAAGCACCGAGUUCCUUCAGCUGAUUCUUAGUGGCAAUGAUGAAGGCUACAAUACUUCAAGCGAACUACAAGUUUGGGAUGUUCUGGACUUCUACUUCUCAGAAAGUUUUUCUGAUGUACAAUUUGAUAGUAUAAUGGGUUUUACAAGUGAUGUCAGUACUUCCUCUCAUGAUUAUAUGAAUAUUGCUGACUUGGUAGAGCGGCCUGUGGCACUCCUGUCUCUCAAUGAGACAGAGGAACCAAAUAAUGCAGCCAAUAAGGCUCUGGUCGACCACAGUAGAAUGGACCCAGAUGACACAUCCUUGUACCUUCAAAUGAAACCACCAGAUUCAGAAAUCGAAAGUACUUCUGCCUCUCAGGAUGUGAUAGGAAUUGAGUAUGUCGAUUCAAUUCCUAGAGGUCUACCUUCAAAUGAAAAGCUUCAUUCUAGAGGUCUGCCUGAUUUAAUGGAUGUUGACUCAUCCAAUCGUCUACGAAAAUCACCAGUGAGAACGAAGCAUGUCACUCUUGUACUUGAUUUGGAUGAGACUCUUGUCCAUUCAACAUUGGAUCACUGUGACAUAUCUGAUUUCAGCAUUCAAGUUUUCUUCAAUAUGAAAGACCAUACAGUUCAUGUGACACAAAGGCCCUACCUGAAGAUGUUCCUUGAGAAGGUAGCUCAGAUGUUUGAGCUUGUCAUUUUCACAGCAAGUCAGAGAAUCUAUGCUGAGCAGAUAAUAGAUAGGCUUGACCCUGAUGGGAAAUUGAUCUCGCAACGAAUUUAUCGUGAGUCGUGUAUAUUCUCUGAUGGCAGCUAUACAAAAGACCUGACAAUUCUAGGAGUCCACUUGGCAAAAGUUGCUAUAAUUGACAAUACGCCACAGGUUUUCCAGUUGCAAGUCGAUAAUGGCAUCCCGAUAAAGAGCUGGUUUGACGACCCCGCGGACCAGGAACUGGUUGAGUUACUCCCGUUCCUCGAGACCCUUGUUGAUGCCGAGGACGUAAGGCCACUAAUCUCAAAGACUUUUCAUGGCAAAGUCCAGCAGGAUUAG
rnacentral:rRNA from 1 species